GUGAGGAAUAUUGGUCAAUGGGCGGGAGCCUGAACUAGCCAAGUCGCGUGAAGGAAGAAGGAUCUAUGGUUGGUAAACUUCUUUUGCAGGGGAAUAAAGUGCAGGACGUGUCCUGUUUUGUAUGUACCCUGAGAAUAAGGAUCGGCUAACUCCGUGCCAGCAGCCGCGGUAAUACGGAGGAUCCGAGCGUUAUCCGGAUUUAUUGGGUUUAAAGGGUGCGUAGGUGGUUUGAUAAGUCAGCGGUGAAAGUUUGCAGCUUAACUGUAAAAAUGCCGUUGAAACUGUCGGACUUGAGUGUAAAUGAGGUAGGCGGAAUGCGUGGUGUAGCGGUGAAAUGCAUAGAUAUCACGCAGAACUCCGAUUGCGAAGGCAGCUUACUAAGCUACAACUGACACUGAAGCACGAAAGCGUGGGGAUCAAACAGGAUUAGAUACCCGAGUAGUCC
rnacentral:rRNA from 1 species